rnacentral:misc_RNA from 1 species
GAUGAAGAACGCAGGCGAAAUGCGAUACGUAAUGUGAAUUGCAGAAUUCAGUGAAUCAUCGAGUCUUUGAACGCACAUUGCGCCCCCUGGUAUUCCGGGGGGCAUGCCUGUCCGAGCGUCAUUGCUGCCCUCAAGCACGGCUUGUGUGUUGGGCCUCCGUCCUCCUCCCGGGGGACGGGCCCGAAAGGCAGCGGCGGCACCGCGUCCGGUCCUCGAGCGUAUGGGGCUUCGUCACCCGCUCUUGUAGGCCCGGCCGGCGCUUGCCGACACAUCAAUCUUUUUUCCAGGUUGACCUCGGAUCAGGUAGGGAUACCCGCUGAACUUAAGCAUAUCAAUAAGCGGAGGA